rnacentral:rRNA from 1 species
UGAGUAACACGUGGGCAAUCUGCCCUUCACUCUGGGACAAGCCCUGGAAACGGGGUCUAAUACCGGAUAACACUCUGUCCCGCAUGGGACGGGGUUAAAAGCUCCGGCGGUGAAGGAUGAGCCCGCGGCCUAUCAGCUUGUUGGUGGGGUGAUGGCCUACCAAGGCGACGACGGGUAGCCGGCCUGAGAGGGCGACCGGCCACACUGGGACUGAGACACGGCCCAGACUCCUACGGGAGGCAGCAGUGGGGAAUAUUGCACAACGGGCGAAAGCCUGAUGCAGCGACGCCGCGUGAGGGAUGACGGCCUUCGGGUUGUAAACCUCUUUCAGCAGGGAAGAAGCGAGAGUGACGGUACCUGCAGAAGAAGCGCCGGCUAACCACGUGCCAGCAGCCGCGGUAAUACGUAGGGCGCAAGCGUUGUCCGGAAUUAUUGGGCGUAAAGAGCUCGUAGGCGGCUUGUGGCGUCGGUUGUGAAAGCCCCGGGGCUUAAACCCCGGGUCUGCAGUCGAUACGGGCAGGCUAGAGUGUGGUAGGGGAGAUCGGAAUUCCUGGUGUAGCGGUGAAAUGCGCAGAUAUCAGGAGGAACACCGGUGGCGAAGGCGGAUCUCUGGGCCAUUACUGACGCUGAGGAGCGAAAGCGUGGGGAGCGAACAGGAUUAGAUACCCUGGUAGUCCCCGCCGUAAACGUUGGGAACUAGGUGUUGGCGACAUUCCACGUCGUCGGUGCCGCAGCUAACGCAUUAAGUUUCCCCGCCCUGGGGAGUACGGCCGCAAGGCUAAAACUCAAAGGAAAUUUGACGGGGGCCCGCACAAGCAGCGGAGCAUGUGGCUUAAUUCGACGCAACGCGAAGAACCUUCCCAAGGCUUGACAUAUACCGGAAAGCAUCAGAGAUGGUGCCCCCCUUGUGGUCGGUAUACAGGUGGUGCAUGGCUGUCGUCAGCUCGUGUCGUGAGAUGUUGGGUUAAGUCCCGCAACGAGCGCAACCCUUGUUCUGUGUUGCCAGCAUGCCCUUCGGGGUGAUGGGGACUCACAGGAGACUGCCGGGGUCAACUCGGAGGAAGGUGGGGACGACGUCAAGUCAUCAUGCCCCUUAUGUCUUGGGCUGCACACGUGCUACAAUGGCCGGUACAAUGAGCUGCGAUGCCGCGAGGCGGAGCGAAUCUCAAAAAGCCGGUCUCAGUUCGGAUUGGGGUCUGCAACUCGACCCCAUGAAGUCGGAGUUGCUAGUAAUCGCAGAUCAGCAUUGCUGCGGUGAAUACGUUCCCGGGCCUGGUACACAUCCCGCGUCAGUUCGUGAUAAGC